UACGUAGGCAGCAAGCGUUGUUCGGAAUUACUGGGCGUAAAGAGUGUGUAGGCGGUGCUCCAAGUCUGGUGUGAAAUCUCCCGGCUUAACUGGGAGGGUGCAUUAGAAACUGGAAUGCUAGAGGAUGGGAGAGGUAAGCGGAAUUCCUGGUGUAGCGGUGAAAUGCGCAGAUAUCAGGAGGAACACCGAUGGCGAAGGCAGGUCUCUGGGCAUUAACUGACGCUGAGGAGCGAAAGCAUGGGGAGCGAACAGG
rnacentral:rRNA from 1 species